CCUACGGGUCGCAGCAGUGAGGAAUAUUGGUCAAUGGACGAGAGUCUGAACCAGCCAAGUAGCGUGAAGGAUGACUGCCCUAUGGGUUGUAAACUUCUUUUAUAAAGGAAUAAAACGAGGCACGUGUGCCCUUUUGCAUGUACUUUAUGAAUAAGGAUCGGCUAACUCCGUGCCAGCAGCCGCGGUAAUACGGAGGAUCCGAGCGUUAUCCGGAUUUAUUGGGUUUAAAGGGUGCGUAGGUGGGUUGUUAAGUCAGUUGUGAAAGUUUGCGGCUCAACCGUAAAAUUGCAAUUGAUACUGGCAGUCUAGAGUACAGUUGAGGUAGGCGGAAUUCGUGGUGUAGCGGUGAAAUGCUUAGAUAUCACGAAGAACUCCGAUUGCGAAGGCAGCUUACUAAACUGCCACUGACAUUGAUGCUCGAAAGUGUGGGGAUCAAACAGGAUUAGAUACCCGUGUAGUC
rnacentral:rRNA from 1 species